AGAGUUUGAUCCUGGCUCAGAUCAACGCNNGGCGGCGCGCCUAACACAUGCAAGUCGCACGAGAAAGCGGGAGCAAUCUCGCAAGUACAGUGGCGUACGGGUGAGUAACACGUGGAUCAUCUACCCUGGAGUGGGGAAUAACGCUGGGAAACCGGCGCUAAUACCGCAUAUUCCCGAGAGGGGAAAGCAGCAAUGCGCUCGAGGAGGAGUCCGCGGCCGAUUAGCUAGUUGGUAGGGUAAAAGCCUACCAAGGCUGUGAUCGGUAGCCGGCCUGAGAGGGCACACGGCCACACUGGCACUGAAACACGGGCCAGACUCCUACGGGAGGCAGCAGUGGGGAAUCUUGCACAAUGGGGGAAACCCUGAUGCAGCGACGCCGCGUGAGCGAUGAAGCCCUUCGGGGUGUAAAGCUCUUUCGGCAGGGAAGAUUAUGACGGUACCUGCAGAAGCAGCUGCGGCUAACUACGUGCCAGCAGCCGCGGUAAUACGUAGGCAGCAAGCGUUGUUCGGAGUUACUGGGCGUAAAGGGUGUGUAGGCGGCCUGUUAAGUUCCGUGUGAAAUCUCCCGGCUCAACCGGGAGGGUGCGCGGAAAACUGGCGGGCUAGAGUGCGGGAUGGGAGAGUAGAAUUCCUGGUGUAGCGGUGAAAUGCGUAGAUAUCAGGAGGAAUACCGGUGGUGUAGACGGCUCUCUGGACCGCAACUGACGCUGAAACACGAAAGCGUGGGUAGCAAACAGGAUUAGAUACCCNNGUAGUCC
rnacentral:rRNA from 1 species